rnacentral:rRNA from 1 species
GACGCUGGCGGCGUGCUUAACACAUGCAAGUCGAACGAUGAAGCCGGAGCUUGCUCUGGUGAAUUAGUGGCGAACGGGUGAGUAACACGUGAGUAACCUGCCCAUGACUCUGGGAUAACUGCGGGAAACUGUAGCUAAUACCGGAUACGACCCUCGGAGGCAUCUCCUGGGGGUGGAAAGAAUUUCGGUCAUGGAUGGACUCGCGGCCUAUCAGCUUGUUGGUGAGGUAAAGGCUCACCAAGGCGACGACGGGUAGCCGGCCUGAGAGGGUGACCGGCCACACUGGGACUGAGACACGGCCCAGACUCCUACGGGAGGCAGCAGUGGGGAAUAUUGCACAAUGGGCGCAAGCCUGAUGCAGCAACGCCGCGUGAGGGACGACGGCCUUCGGGUUGUAAACCUCUUUUAGUAGGGAAGAAGCGAAAGUGACGGUACCUGCAGAAAAAGCACCGGCUAACUACGUG